rnacentral:pre_miRNA from 14 species
ACCCACAGACCGAAGUUGGACUUUUCCUAGUCCCUGAGACCCUAACUUGUGAGGAUUUUUUAGCAACAAUCACAAGUUAGGCUCUUGGGACCUAGGCGGAGGGGAAACAGCAGCUUGUGGACU